ACACACACACACACACACACACACACACACACACACACACACACACACACACACACACACACACACACACACACACACACACACACACACACACUCUCUCUCUCUCACUCAACCCCCCGCCCUGCGGUCCGGGCUGAAUGGGGCCCCUGACGGGCUGCCAGGCGACUCCCCUGUAGGUCCCUGGCUCCACGUGUGGUCACUGCCCCCAGCCCCCCGGCCCCGCUGCCCCCAGGCCCCGCUGCCCCCAGCCCCCCGGCCCCGCUGCCCCCAGCCCCCCGGCCCCGCUGCCGCCAGGCCCCGCGGCACCACGGCCCCCCCCAGCCCUGCGGCCCCCCGGCCAAUCCGCUCGUUAGCUGGACCCGCGCUCAGUAUGCUAAUGAGACAGCUUGUGAGCGAGAGAGGCAACGGACGUCAGGUAGAGAGAGAGAGAGAGAGAGAGAGAGAGAGAGAGAGAGAGAGAGAGAGAGAGAGAGAGAGAGAGAGAGAGAGAGAGAGAGAGAGA